rnacentral:rRNA from 1 species
GUUCUAACGUAGACCCGUGAUCCGGGUUGCGGACAGUGUCUGGUGGGUAGUUUGACUGGGGCGGUCUCCUCCUAAAGAGUAACGGAGGAGCACGAAGGUUAGCUAAUCCUGGUCGGACAUCAGGAGGUUAGUGCAAAGGCAUAAGCUAGCUUGACUGCGAGAGUGACGGCUCGAGCAGGUGCGAAAGCAGGUCUUAGUGAUCCGGUGGUUCUGAAUGGAAGGGCCAUCGCUCAACGGAUAAAAGGUACUCCGGGGAUAACAGGCUGAUACCGCCCAAGAGUUCAUAUCGACGGCGGUGUUUGGCACCUCGAUGUCGGCUCAUCACAUCCUGGGGCUGAAGUAGGUCCCAAGGGUAUGGCUGUUCGCCAUUUAAAGUGGUACGCGAGCUGGGUUUAGAACGUCGUGAGACAGUUCGGUCCCUAUCUGCCGUGGGCGCUGGAGAAUUGAGGGGGGCUGCUCCUAGUACGAGAGGACCGGAGUGGACGCAUCACUGGUGUUCGGGUUGUCAUGCCAAUGGCAUUGCCCGGUAGCUAAAUGCGGAAGAGAUAAGUGCUGAAAGCAUCUAAGCACGAAACUUGCCCCGAGAUGAGUUCUCCCUGACUCCUUGAGAGUCCUGAAGGAACGUUGAAGACGACGACGUUGAUAGGUCGGGUGUGUAAGUGUAGCGAUACAUUGAGCUAACCGAUACUAAUGAACCGUGAGGCUUAACCUUACAACGCCAAAG